GGGGAUUUAGCUCAGCGGCAUAAGCGCCUGCCUUGCAAGCAGGCGGUCGUGAGUUCGAUUCCCAGUACCA
rnacentral:tRNA from 1 species